AUGUAGAUGGAGGUCAAAAACAAGCA
rnacentral:piRNA from 1 species